rnacentral:misc_RNA from 1 species
CAGAGGUGUAAAGCAUCUAUUGAUUUCCUAGAGAAUGAGAAACCCUUUUUCCCUCCUACCAUAAACAAUAAACAGUUGCAUGAGUACUUCAAAAAUGUAGCAGGAGCUAUGCUUGGCAUUGAUAAAGUUGAAGAUAUGACACCGUUAAUGGGAUCUGAGGAUUUUGCCUUUUACCAAGAGGUGAUUCCUGGAUACUUCUUCUUUAUUGGAAUGAAGAAUGAGACGAGCAAACAGCUUCAAUCCCCACACUCACCUUUGUUUGAAAUCAAUGAAGACGUCCUUCCUUAUGGUGCUGCACUUCAUGCAUCAUUGGCUGUUAAUUAUCUUCUUGAAUUCCAACCUGA